rnacentral:rRNA from 1 species
GAUGAACGCUGGCGGCGUGCCUAAUACAUGCAAGUCGAGCGAACGGACGAGAAGCUUGCUUCUCUGAUGUUAGCGGCGGACGGGUGAGUAACACGUGGAUAACCUACCUAUAAGACUGGGAUAACUUCGGGAAACCGGAGCUAAUACCGGAUAAUAUUUUGAACCGCAUGGUUCAAAAGUGAAAGACGGUCUUGCUGUCACUUAUAGCUGGAUCCGCGCUGCAUUAGCUAGUUGGUAAGGUAACGGCUUACCAAGGCAACGAUGCAUAGCCGACCUGAGAGGGGGAACCGCCACAGUGGAACUGAGACACGGUCCAGACUCCUACGGGAGGCAGCAGUAGGGAAUCUUCCGCAAUGGGCGGAAGCCUGACGGAGCAACGCCGCGUGAGUGAUGAAGGUCUUCGGAUCGGAAAACUCUGUUAUUAGGGAAGAACAUAUGUGUAAGUAACUGAGCACAUCUUGACGGUACCUAAUCAGAAAGCCACGGCUAACUACGUG